CCCCAGCGGUGGAGCAUGUGGUUUAAUUUGAUGCAACGCGAAGAACCUUACCUGGCCUUGACAUAGUAAGAACUUUCCAGAGAUGGAUUGGUGCCUUUGGGAACUUACAUACAGGUGCUGCAUGGCUGUUGUCAGCUCGUGUUGUGAGAUGUUGGGUUAAGUCCCGCAACGAGCGCCACCCUUUUCCUUAUUUGCCAGCGAGUAAUGUCGGGAACUUUAAGGAUACUGCCAGUGACAAACUGGAGGAAGGCGGGGACGACGUCAAGUCAUCAUGGCCCUUACGGCCAGGGCUACACACGUGCUACAAUGGUCGGUACAAAGGGUUGCUACACAGCGAUGUGAUGCUAAUCUCAAAAAGCCGAUCGUAGUCCGGAUUGGAGUCUGCAACUCGACUCCAUGAAGUCGGAAUCGCUAGUAAUCGCGGAUCAGAAUGCCGCGGUGAAUACGUUCCCG
rnacentral:rRNA from 1 species